rnacentral:lncRNA from 1 species
CGCAGCAACAUGAGCCACCACAGUUGGAUUCUUAACCCCCUGCGCCAUGGUGGGAACUGCCCCCUCCUGCUUUGUAAUUGCUGUAGAGCAUCUCUGGCAGGGAUGGCUGACCAUUCAUUGGCCAAAACCUUCCUGAUAGACAUUUGGCCUCUUUUCAACUUUGUUUUUGUUUGUCUGUUUCGGCUGCGCCUGCAGAAUACAAAAGUUCUGGGGCCAGGGAUUGAACCCACGCCACAGCAGCAACCCGAGCCACAGCAGUGACAAUACUGCAUCCUUAACCUACUGCUCCAUAAGGGAACUCCCCUGUUUUCAUCUUUGAUGCAACACACCCCAUCACCAAGGAACAUGCCUUCUUGUGUCCACGAGUGAGAGGCACCCCAGGGCCUUGCUAAUGCUUCAGCAGGCUCCCCUGGAAGCUUGCUAGUCUCAUCCCAGAGGCAUACAAGUAUACAAUCAGAGCCAGUAUUUUCACCAGACCCCAUGCAUUCCCAUUCAAACUUGAGAAGCACAGCUCCACUCUAAGUAGCUACCCCAAAGCAGUCAGCUGGCUCAAGGGCUGCAUAUCCUCUAUAUUUCAGCAGAAACCGAAAAAAGUGCCCUCCAACAGACCUUCCUGGCACCUGUCUGCAAUUCCCUGUAUGUUACAGUUUUUGCUGAAUUGAUGAUUCUUUCCAUUUUCCAGAUGUGGAACCUGAGGCUUGACAACCAGAUCCCAGGGCUGACGAUUUCUAAAGCCUCUCCUGGGUCUGGCUUUCAGGGUUUGGCCACAUCCUGGGCACGUUCCAUGCUGGCUUCCUGCCUAGGCCCCCUGGCUCUCAGAAAGCAGUUCAGAGUUGAGGGGUGGGGGGUGGGGGGGCAGAAGGGCUACAGCUCACCCAGCAAAGGGAGGUGUCCCGCAAGAGAAAAGAGGCUCUGAAGAAAGGGGGGUGGGAGCUUCUGCGAACAGCACCAGAGAGACUGCUCUGUGCCCAUUCAUGUCCAGUCAUCCAGGACAAAGGACCAGCUGGAGCACAGGGCCAAGGUGCCCUUUAAUGCACGGAAGGGAACGCCAGGGCUCCAGGAUAAGGACAAGGGGGGAGAGGGCUCUGGAGCCCAGGAGUUGGUAAGGACUAAACUUUGCUCUCACUAGCUGCACAUCUUUUUUGUGUUUUUGUUUUGUUUUGUUUUUUUGCUUUUUAGGGCCACACCUGCAGCAUAUGGAAGUUCCCAGGCUAGGGGUAGAAUCAGAGCUACAGCUGCUGGUCUAUGCCACAGCCACAGCCACUCCAGAUACAAGCCCUAUCUGCAACCCUAGCUGCCACCCACUGCAGAGAGCUGCUGUGAAGACUCCUUGCAGAUGGGUCAACCAAUGGCAGCCACCAUCUGGAGCACCACCCGGAGCCCUGCCUUAGGCUGGUGCUGCUCUGCAGUGCUCAACUUAUUGCCGCCUCAUGACAAUCAACUGCGCUCAUUCUCCCCACUUGACAGAGGAGGAAACUGAGGUUCAGAAAGGUAUGUGCCCUCCCUUCAACAUACACUGAGCUAUGGCCUUGGACCUACCUUGCAGGGUCAGAUUCCUCAUCAGAAUCCUGCCUCUGGAAUGCUGUGUGCCCCUGGGCAAGCUGCUUUGCCUCUCUGACCCUCAGCUUUCAAAGCAGUGAAAUGCGACCACAGGCAGAGACCAGAGAUAGGAAGCUGCCCUGCAAACGAGAGAACAUACUGAACAUUCCCUCCUCCAAGCUCCAUGCUGUCAUGCCCGCAAAGACCCAGCCUAGGAAGACCUGUCACCUGUGGGCAACCCUGAGCUUUCCUGUACUCUAGGUCUGACACGGGUGAGAAGUCAGGCAAACCUGGUGUGGCCCCCAGGGAGGAAAAACCACUUACUUAAGGUCACAUGGCUGGCAAGCAGUGGAGAGCAGGGCCAGGCAGCAAGAAGUGGGGUGUCUAACCUGAGCAGGGCACAGGCAGCAGUCAGAGUGGCUUUGAGGGCCAGGGUGGGGCUGGCAGGUGCCAGAGCGGCGGCCACCAGGAGCAGGCAGAUCUGUGAUGCCCAGGUCACUCCUACUGGCCCUCAGCGGCAGGGCCUCUUUGAAGGAUCCCUCAGUCCCAGGAUGUGCCUGCCUCCCCCCACAGGCUCCUCCUCCCUCUGGGCCCAGCCUGCCACCUGCCUGCGCAUUGGCAGUGGACACCACCUCUCUGGGACAUCAGAGCUUCUCUCUGCGGCCAGAGCUCAGGCCUUCCAGGCUCUGCCUCUCUCUAUGGCUAGUCUUGUCCCAUCCUUUGGAAACUUCUCUCAUCCCUGUGGCCAGAGGGUGCAGCGACCACAGAAACCUGACCACGUCACGCGCCGUCUAAGCCCUUCUGUGAGCCCUUGACCUCAGAGUGAUACUCCAGCUCCUCCCCACGGCUUAUGAGGACAACAUCCAGGAGGAGUUCAAGGUGAGGCACACAUGGAAUUCAACUUUUCAGGAGCCACGUUAAAAAGUUAAUAAGAAAAAGGUGACAUUAAACUUUUUUAUGGCCCCACCCAGGGCAUAUGGAAGUUCCCAGACUAGGGGUCAAACUGGAGCUACAGCUGCCAGCCUACACCACAGCCACAGCAACGCAGGCUCGGAACUGCAUCUGCAACCAUGGAAAUGCCGGAUCCUUAACCCACUAAGCAAGGCCAGGGAUCGAAUCCAUAUCCUCAAGGACACCAUGUCAGAUAUUAACCAGCUGAGCUACAAUAGGAACUCAGACAUUAAACUUAAUAAUAGAUUUUAUUUCACCCAAUACAUCCUAAAUAUUAUUAACUAACAUAAAAAUGAUAUUGAUUGAUUGAUUUGUUUUUUUUAAGCGCUCCAGGAACAGCAUGUGGAAGUUCCCAGGCUAGUGGCCGAAUCAGAGCUGCAGCUACUGGCCUAAACCACAGCCACAGCAAUGCAGGAUCUGUGGCAUGUCUACAACGUGCAUCACAACUAUGCCAGAUCCGUAACCCACUGAGGCCAGGGAUUGAACCUGCAUCCUCAUGGAUACUAGAGGAUUUGUUACCACUGUGCCACACGGGAAUUCCCAUAAAAAUGAUUAGUGAGACAUUUUACUUUCUUUUUUUCCCUGAGUACUAAUUCCGUGAAAUCGGGCUACCAUCAGUGCACCACAAUUUGGAUGAUAAAAUUUUUGGUGGAAAUACGUGGUCUGUAGUUAGAGUUCAUAAAAUGUACAGCUGAAAAAUUACAGUCACAUCCCCAAAUAGUUCUAUCUGCCUUUAAAAGUUUUCCAAGAACAAAAUGGAGUAUUUUGUUCGGACAUCUAAAUUUAAAUUAAUAUAAACAAUUCAGUUCUUCCUCUAUGCUAGCCACAUUCAAGGGCUGAUGGCUCCCCGAGUAGACACACAGGUUAACUCCUUAAUUGUCUGGUCCCCGGAGCCCUCUCAUGCCUCCUUUCCAGUCCUGUCCUAGACACAGGUGAAGUUUCUAAGCUCGCCCUCAGCCUCUGUCUCCACGAUUGAUCCAUGCCCUUCCUCAACAGUCCCCACUUCCUGCUGGGAACCAGAGCCUGGUACACAGAAGGCACCCAAGUGUGCACCUGAGGCUUACUCAAGUAUACCAUACAGCUUGCCUCCUCCAGGAAGGCUUCCGUGAUGCCCUAGCUUGGUGAGUGUUCUCCUGGGCUCUUAACAGCCCUCUGCUCUCAUCUCCUGGGCAACCUCCUCCAAGGGUAGGAACUGGGUCUUGUUCACUGCUAUAUUUUCAAUGCCUAACCUGAAGAUUGGUAUUACAGUAGGUGCUUGAUUUAUAGAUUUUAUUAUAGUAUGUAAAUAUAUAAUGUAGUAUGUAUUAUACACUAUAGUAAGUAUAUAAAUAGUAAUAUAUAAAUACACACUAUAGUAAGUAUAUAAACAUAUAGUAUAUAAAUAUAGGUGCUAAAUUUAUAGAAUUCACCUGAGAAAUAGUAAUGACUUAGGUUGAAAAGCCCCACAGGACCAGUUUUGCCUGUUUUAGUUCAGGGCUCUUUCAUCCCUGCAAAAGUGCUACUAACAGGCACAGCUCCAUUUACACACCAAGCACUAGGCUAAACACUCUGCAGGACUGAGAGAGGGAAAGUGAGGCUCAGACAGGUGAGGGCUUGACCUGUGUUCAAAUCAAUGAUUUGGAGGCUCAAAACUCUUACUGAUCCAAAGAAGUUACACAUGGAAGAGGAGGUUUGCACUACAUACGGCAAAUAAGACAUCUGUAUCCAGAAUAUAUAAAGAGCCCUGGGAAAUCAAUAAGAACAAGACAGGCAAUGCAUCAGGAAAGAGGGCAAAUAUGAAGAGACACUUAAUCCAAGAGGUUAUCUAAAUAGUCAUUAACCAUACAAAAGGGUGCUCACUCUCAUUAUCCAGCAGGAGAAAUAAUACAAAAUAAAAGCACAGUGUGGAGUACUGUAUAUCUGAAUGGCUCAAGAGGAAAAAAAAAAAAGGAUAUUACAAGUGCUGACAAGGAAUGUGAUACAACCAGAACUUUCAUGUUCCACAGGUGGGAGAGUAACCUGGCACAAUCACUUUGGGAAAACUCUGGCAUAAGAGACAACAGCUGAUCUCGCACCUUCUCUGUAACCUGGCAGUUCCACUGUAAAUCAGAAAUGUAUCAUCCACCAAGGGGAUAUGUCAACAUGUUCCUGGCAGCACU